rnacentral:lncRNA from 1 species
AGGUUGAGAUGAUGUCACAAUGGAAAAUGGGCCAAAGGAGUAUAUGCCAAUACUACUCAAAGUGUGGUCUGGGGUACACUGCUCAUUCAUGAAUUGUUUCUUGAUGGUCCACAAUGACGUAAAGCAUGGUUUAUCACCGUGUAAAACAACUCUUGCACAACCAAACAGCAAAAGUGAAUUCACCAUGAGUAUAUGCCAUUGUCCCUUCUUUACAGACCUUCCACCAUGGAUGAGAAGAUAAGAUUAAAACUUCAAUGUGAUUAGCAUGGAGUGAUCAAGCAGCAUAUGUGAAGGAAUGGAUAAUGAAUGAAUAUAAAUAUAUUCAUAUACAUAUAAUAGCAGAACUGUAUGUGAGUUCUGGCUUUACCAUGUAUUAGUAGCAUGGCCCUUGACCAAUCACUAAACCUUUAUAAGCCGAUAUCUGGGAGAUAGUAGUGACUUUUGAAUUGCAGUAUUA